AAUUAAUCCUAAUUUUAAAGUUUCAAAUAAUUUAAACAACUAAAUAAAAACAUAAAAAAAAACUAAAAAUCAAUCAUUCUUUAUCUUCUCUAAUUUCCCUAAUUAUUCGUCCCCUCACUCUGAAGCAAAGCAAAACAUAUAAAAAAAAUAAAAAAUCAAUCGUUCUUCGUCUUCUCCAAUUCUCCUAAUCAUUCUUGCCCCUUCUAAAGCAAAGCAUUGAAAGUCCCAAACCAAAACGCCAAAACCUUAGCCCUAGGUUCUUUGCCGCGGCCGUCCCCAGGUUCUCAGCGCUUCAGCUUCUUCCUCUUCCCCCUUUCCGCAACCCAGGUAGCUCAGCACGUCGUCCCCAUCCUCGUUGGCUUCUCUGUCCGUGGCUUGGACCAUCUCGCCUUCGGGUCACCGCUUGCCAUCGUCUCUGCUCUCGCCGUCGUCUUGCUGGUUGCCGCCGUGUCUCCGUUGAAGGUAUAUAUAUCUUGGGCUAUUCGACAGUGAAGUAGAAGCUGCAAGGUCCUAGUGAAACUUGAUAACAGUCUCACAAUUGUUCUUUUGCUGGUGUAAUUGCUGAUAAGUGCAAUGUUGUUUGCCAAAUCUAUUCACAGUUUGUUCUAAGUUAAUUCUAAACUUUAGUUUGCCAAAAUUUCAUGAGAUCAUCUAUUAUGGGGAAUAUAUAUUUUUCUUUGUUUUCCUAAUAUCAUAGUGUUGUUCUUGAACUAUUAUUAGGUCACAUGAACAUUUAAUUUAGGGGGUCAGAAAAUGACAUAAUUAUUUGGUGAAAAAAAACUGGGUUCUCUAUGCUAUUUGAAGUUCAUAUAUAUCAUCCAUAAAAUUGUCUUAUUAAUAUCUCCAACUUGGGGGUAACUCAUGGUAUGUGGUAGUGGUUUUCGUGUUGCUAUACUUGUUGAUACAAGUUUUAUAUGAAAAUAGCAUGUUCACUACAUCCUUUACCUACUCUGACAGAAUCAGAGGAACCAAAGAAAAAUUAAAAACGUCAAAAGGGGAGAAAUCAGGUUUUCUUGCACCUCUUCAACUAUCUGAUGCCCUUGUAAAUUUCCUUGGUACCGGAGAAAGUGAGUUAUCAAGAGCUGAGGUUAUAAAAAGAAUGUGGGAUUACAUAAAAGGAAACAACCUUCAGCUAUGUCACUUCUUUAAGUUGUUCACUAGCCGAACAUUGUUUAAUUAAAGCUCUAAUGAUCUCUCCUUUAAAUAGCCAUUUCAAAAGCUUGAAAAGAUGAAUUCAAACCAUCUUACAUUUUUGGCUGCAUAACAUAAUAUUAGCUACAUCAAAGUUAUCAUAGCCAUUUCAAAUGGCACACCUCAAGCAAUGCAAUGUUCAGAUUUCUAGAUAGCUUGUGCCAUAUGCAGUGUUGUGGAACUCAAGAUGCAGAAUUGUGUUUCAAGUUUGAUGUAAACCAAAGGCCUCUGACUUCUCUUAAUCAAGUCAAUCAGUGCUGUUUGACUUUA